rnacentral:rRNA from 1 species
AGUGGCGCACGGGUGAGUAACACGUGAAUAUCUGCCCUUGAGAUCGGGAUAACAUGGUGAAAACUAUGCUAAUACCGAAUAAGUUCAUAAGAAAAAAGGAGUCUCAAUCUUCGCUUAGGGAUGAGUUCGCGGAACAUUAGCUUGUUGGUGAGAUAAAAGCUCACCAAGGCUACGAUGUUUAGCCGGCCUGAGAGGGUGAUCGGCCACACUGGAACUGAGACACGGUCCAGACUCCUACGGGAGGCAGCAGUGGGGAAUAUUGCGCAAUGGGCGAAAGCCUGACGCAGCAACGCCGUGUGAGCGAUGAAGGCCUUUGGGUCGUAAAGCUCUGUCAAAUGGGAAGAACAUUGACGGUACCAUUAGAGGAAGCCCCGGCUAACUCCGUGCCAGCAGCCGCGGUAAUACGGAGGGGGCAAGCGUUGUUCGGAAUUAUUGGGCGUAAAGAGUAUGUAGGCGGCUAAAUAAGUCAGACGUGCAAGCCCGUGGCUCAACCACGGAAUUGCGUUUGAAACUGUAUAGCUUGAGUACAGGAGAGGAAAGCGGAAUUCCCAGUGUAGCGGUGAAUGCAUUGAUAUUGGGAAGAACAUCUGUGGCGACGCGCUUUCUGGUCUGUUACUGACGCUGAGAUACGAAAGCCAGAGGAGCAACGGGGAUAGAUACCCCCGUAGUUCUGGCUGA